rnacentral:rRNA from 1 species
GACAGAGGUGCCGAGCGUUAGGCGGAAUCACUGGGCUUAAAGCGUGUGUAGGCGGGUGCCUAAGUACCUUGUGAAAUCCCACGGCUCAACCGUGGAACUGCUGGGUAUACUGGUUGUCUUGAGCCAGCUAGGGGCGAGCGGAACAGACGGUGGAGCGGUGAAAUGCGUAGAUAUCGUCUGGAACGCCGAAGGUGAAAACAGCUCGCUGGGGCUGCGCUGACGCUGAGACACGAAAGCCAGGGGAGCGAACGGG